UUUAAAUACUAUUUUCCAUACUGAGUAUGUAGAACUUACCCCUUUUCAUGUCCCCCUCAAAUGAGGACAAUACUGAGGAACCGAUUGUUGACCUACCUCUUAAAGUUUUUGAGGAUCCCGUGGAUCAGUGAACUGUUAUGAGUGUAUGCUUUGUCCUCGCCCUCUGAUUAGUCCAUCUUUUGUAUAGACUUGUAUUUAAUUUUGUUUUGCCUCAAUAUUGUAAGAUUUGGAACUCUAUUACUAUUUUGUAAAGGAUUAUAAUAU
rnacentral:lncRNA from 1 species